rnacentral:rRNA from 1 species
AGUGAACGCUGGCGGUAGGCCUAACACAUGCAAGUCGAACGGCAGCACAGUAAGAGCUUGCUCUUACGGGUGGCGAGUAGCGGACGGGUGGGGAGUACAUCGGACUCUACUUUUUCGUGGGGGAUAACGUAGGGAAACUUACGCUAAUCCCACAUACGACCUACGGGUUAAAGCAGGGGAUCAUCGGACCUUGCGCGUUUGCAUGAGCCGAUGUCGGGUUAGCUAGUUGGCGGGGUAAAGGCCCACCAAGGCGACGAUCCGUAGCUGGUCUGAGUGGAUGAUCAGCCACCCUGGAACGAAGACUGGGUCCAGACGCCUACGGGAGACAGCUGGGGGGAAAAUUGGACGAGGUGAGCAAGCCGGAUCCGGCGGUACCGCGUGGCUGAAGAAGGCGUUCGGGGCGUAAAGCCCUCUUGUUUGGGAAGAGAAGCAGCAGGUGAGUACCCCGCUGUGCUGACGGUACCCAAAGAAUAAGCACCGGCUAACGACGUG